rnacentral:rRNA from 1 species
AAGACGAACGGAGACAAGAGGAGCUUGCUUUUCUUGACUUAGUGGCGAACGGGUGAGUAACGCGUGAGUAACCUGCCCUGGAGUGGGGGACAACAGUUGGAAACGACUGCUAAUACCGCAUAACCCCACGGAUCCGCAUGGAUCUGCGGGAAAAGGAUUUAUUCGCUUCAGGAUGGACUCGCGUCCAAUUAGCUAGUUGGUGAGGUAACGGCCCACCAAGGCGACGAUUGGUAGCCGGACUGAGAGGUUGAACGGCCACAUUGGGACUGAGACACGGCCCAGACUCCUACGGGAGGCAGCAGUGGGGGAUAUUGCACAAUGGGGGAAACCCUGAUGCAGCGACGCCGCGUGGAGGAAGAAGGUUUUCGGAUUGUAAACUCCUGUCGUUAGGGACGAUAAUGACGGUACCUAACAAGAAAGCACCGGCUAACUACGUGCCAGCAGCCGCGGUAAAACGUAGGGUGCAAGCGUUGUCCGGAAUUACUGGGUGUAAAGGGAGCGCAGGCGGACCGGCAAGUUGGAAGUGAAAACUAUGGGCUCAACCCAUAAAUUGCUUUCAAAACUGCUGGCCUUGAGUAGUGCAGAGGUAGGUGGAAUUCCCGGUGUAGCGGUGGAAUGCGUAGAUAUCGGGAGGAACACCAGUGGCGAAGGCGACCUACUGGGCACCAACUGACGCUGAGGCUCGAAAGCAUGGGUAGCAAACAGGAUUAGAUACCCUGGUAGUCCAUGCCGUAAACGAUGAUAUACUAGGUGUUGGAGGAUUGACCCCUUCAGUGCCGCAGUUACAACAAUAAAUAUUCCACUGGGGGAGUACGGCGGCAAGGUUGAAAUUCAAAGGAAUUGACGGGGGCCCGCACAAGCAGUGGAGUAUGUGUGUUUAAUUCGAAGCAACGCGAAGAACCUUACCAGGUCUUGACAUCCGAUGCAUAGUGCAGAGAUGCAUGAAGUCCUUCGGGACAUCGAGACAGGUGGUGCAUGGUUGUCGUCAGCUCGUGUCGUGAGAUGUUGGGUUAAGUCCCGCAACGAGCGCAACCCUUAUUGCCAGUUACUACGCAAGAGGACUCUGGCGAGACUGCCGUUGACAAAACGGAGGAAGGUGGGGAUGACGUCAAAUCAUCAUGCCCUUUAUGACCUGGGCUACACACGUACUACAAUGGCGUUUAACAAAGAGAAGCAAGACCGCGAGGUGGAGCAAAACUCAAAAACAACGUCUCAGUUCAGAUUGCAGGCUGCAACUCGCCUGCAUGAAGUCGGAAUUGCUAGUAAUCGCGGAUCAGCAUGCCGCGGUGAAUACGUUCCCGGGCCUUGCACA